rnacentral:rRNA from 1 species
UACGGAGGGUGCAAGCGUUAUCCGGAUUCACUGGGUUUAAAGGGUGCGUAGGUGGUUUUGUAAGUUAGAGGUGAAAGCCCGGAGCUCAACUCCGGAAUUGCCUUUAAGACUGCAUCGCUUGAAUCAUGGAGAGGUGAGUGGAAUUCCGAGUGUAGAGGUGAAAUUCGUAGAUAUUCGGAAGAACACCAGUGGCGAAGGCGAACUCACUGGACAUGUAUUGACGCUGAGGUGCGAAAGCGUGGGGAGCAAACAGG